CAAAUCACUAUUGCUUUAUUGUGCAAUGAAGAUUAUACUACUAAUAUUCUGUGUUUUCUAUGCAAUUAAAUGCUCUUAUUCAUGUGAAAAGCAUUUAACUUGCGAAGGGUGUAUCAGAGACGCUAAUCAGUGUAUUUGGUGUGCUUUGGACAAUUAUAAUGGACCUCGAUGUAUGACUGCAGAAAAAUAUAUAGACUCCAAGGAUUGGUGUAUUGGCAACACAAUAAAUCCGAAUAGUACCAUGGAAAUUGGACAAAAUAAAAAAUUUUCUUCAGAGGCUGGUCAUGUUAUUCAGAUAAAACCACAAAGCGUUAAAAUCAAGCUUAGACCAGGUCAACAAGAAAAUUUUGAAUUUUCAUUUAAAAAUGCCGAUAACUACCCUGUAGAUUUGUAUUUUCUUAUGGACGGAUCAACAACUAUGAAAGCUAUGAAAGAUCAAACACGAGACAAAAGUGAAAACAUUUAUAAAACUAUGAAGAGCAUGUCAACUAACGUUCUAAUAGGAAUGGGAACUUUCGUGGAUAAAAACACUCUACCAUACACAACAUUAAUAAACAGUAGUUUAGCGUACUCAUUUAGACAUCGCUUGAAGCUGACGCAUGACUUUAAAGAAUUUCAAAAUGUAGUAAAUAGUACAGAGUUCGGUUUAAACUAUGAUACCCAAGAAGGAACAUUAGAUGCGCUUGCACAAGUAAUGGUGUGUAAUGAUUUAGUUGGCUGGAGAAAAGAGUCGAGAAAAAUAAUCAUAGUUUUAACAGACAGUACCUUUCACGCAGCAGGUGAUGGUGGUUUUGGAGGAAUUUCCCAACCUUUUGACGGAAAAUGUCACAGCGACAGUGGUUAUUAUUCUAAAGAAUUAGAACUAGAUUAUCCAUCUAUAAGUAUUAUAAAUAAACUAGCAGCUGAUGAGGAGAUUUCUGUUAUAUUUGCUGUUAAUAACGACAAUAAAAAUAUUUACAAAACUUUAACUGAAGGCGUGUCAGGAUCCAAAUGCGUAAGUUUUGAGCAACCGAACGUUGAAGAUGGUAUGCCGACCAUUCUAAAAAGUAUUUAUAAGGACAUAACGAGCCAAUUGAAAUUAAGAGUCAACAUGAAUUCAGAAUACCGGGACUAUUUUAAUAUAUCUUUCAAUCCGGAUUGCAUUUCAAGAACCACCAAUUCACCACCGUGUAAAAUGAGACCGGGAGGAGAGAAAAAGAUAAAAGCUACUAUAAAACUGUUAAAGUAUUUCCCUGAUAAAAAUAUCAGCAUAGGUUUGGUAAAUGAAGGGAUCAGGGAAGAACUGACAAUAAACGUUGAAAUGAUUGAGUCAUGUGGUUGUAAACGCGAAGAAAACUCAAGCUUGUGUUCGUCUAGCGGUACUAAGAGAUGCGGAAUAUGCGAAUGUAACGAGGGCAGUACUGGGGAUAUCUGUCAGUGCAAAGGCAAUAUCGUCAGUUUGGGAAUGGACACUUGCCGUCAACCGGGCUCUAACAAAGUUUUGUAACGGAUUAGAUGAUUGUGUCUGCGGAUCACGUAUAUGUAAAGAAAGUUGCAGAAUUAGAUCGUAAGGUGGCUGUAGAGAGGCGUCGUCUUGAGGAAGUCCGCGAAGCAGUUUGCAGAAACACGCCAGCCGCUUCCAGGGAUACCAGUCUACAGACAUAUACAACUGUUCCCGAAAAGGAUUCGCAGUGUCAGCAAAGCUUGAUGCAGGAGAACGAAAGGAGAAAAAGCAUUUGCAGGAUGAACAUCCGAUCCGUUUGAGGCGGUCCCACGAUCGGACAAAGAAGACACAUAAGAAAUGAAGAUUUAAGGGGGAUAUGGAAGAUGUAGGUGUAAUUUAAAAAUUUCGUGUUUCCAAAUUUAAUUUUUUAUUAAUUUUACAAUAUUAUUUAUACUUAUUUAAUGUAAUUAAAAAUUUUAAAAGUUCUUAAUAAAUGUAUUAAUAUUAUAUAUGGGUGUCGAUUUAGUAUAAAAC